UUUAUGCUGGCAUAAUGGGCCUGCAUGAUGUAUGUUCCCUGUCAGUGCUGAAACAACAGUCAGUGCGUCUGAGCAGGCCCACCUGCCAAGCAAUAUGUUCUCAAUCCCUCAGGCAGAGCAGUGCAUUGCUCGGCUAAGGAAAUGUCCCCCCACUGAGCAAAUGGCAGAGCCACGGAACACAGGCAACUGUGAGCGCAUGCGCACAGAAGAUCACAGACACACGGCAGGAGGGGCGAUGGGGAGGGACAGUGAGGAUGUUCCCGUCAAGCUUCACUUCACAGUGACAGGCAAACGAUCUCACGGUUUUUCUUUCUUUCCUUUUUUUUCUUUCUCUAAUGAACUACCAUAGGCUGCUAAUCGCAUACAUCAUUAACACAAGUGGCUGGAGGUUGGCUGUGGGAUGGCUGGCAGAUCGGUCACCGAAGCCCAAAAUGGGGAAGGGACGGGACUGAACGCUCAGGAUCACGCAGAAGGGGCCUGUCUCGUGGUGCUUAGGUGUGCCGGUGGAGGACAAAGCAUAGUCUGAUGGACCCCUCUUUGCAGGGGGGCGGGGGGGAGGCAGCACACCGCAGGUCACUAGAGAAUGCAGCAGGUUCCCCACACUGACUGAUGGGAAAGCUCCCCACCACCCUGCUUCUGCUGGUCUCCCGGAGGUGCCCCUAGACAGAGAGGCGGGCUUUGCCUUUUCCCUGGAAAAAGCAGACUUUUGUCAAGGCCGGGCACCGGGGCUUCCGGCUGGGAGUGCUCCGGCUAAUUAGGGAUAGCGUGAGGCCUGCGCUGUGAAGAAACCCUCGGAGGCACAGGACAGACUCCGCUUUCAGAUGCUGGGAAGAGGGGAGCGGGACAUGCUCCUCUCUGGGUGGGGAAGCUCUCUGCAGAUUAUGUAAUGAGGAACAAUGAAUGGCUUUCUCGCGGGCGGUGGAAGGACAGCGCUGUUCAAAGCAGUUAACACAACGUUUUUUACAAAGGCUACAAUCUUACUCGGGAUUUUAGGUCAGUCCUCUCUAACCUCUUUCAAGAUCUCCAAACGGUUUGGUCAGGUCCUGAACCGCACGGAGUGGACGGUCACAACAGUUCUCGUCGAGGCCCACGACAGACUGCUCGCUUGUAUUUUAUAUGGCUGUGCUGAGCACACGAGCUAGCACACGGGAGAACAACCUCCUCGCACCUGCUGAUGGAGGGAGGAAGGCCAGCUCCCAGAGAAAACAAGCAGCGGUUAGAUUCCGGUUCAGCCGAACGAUGAAGGAUCGUGCAGCCGCUGAAAAUUAUAGUUUGGUUCUCUAGUGAGGAACGUUUCAAAAGUACCAGAAUGUAUCAACAGGAAAAAAAGCAGUAUUUUCCCCCUGUAAUAGGCCAUAAAUUCAAGUAAGAUCCUUGGACCAGUUCAAACAUUAUUUAUGUAGGAUCAGUGCCAGAUUUUUUUACUUAAAAGGGAUUUCGUGAAUCUGACAGUCUCACCGUAAGAGCAACAACAGGUACUGCAAUGCUAUUCCAACAGACAUCAGGCUUCAGAGAAGUACGAGGCACACUCCCUGUACGAGAGGUACUUAAUGCUUAAUGAGGAAGACAGACAACGAACAACAAGUGUCCAUCCAAAGUACUCCAACUAGGGCAAUGAGCAAAUAAAUAAAUAAGCAUCCCUGACGCAACAACUUGCCAAUGACAUUAUCCAGUUGGUGGACAUUAGCCAGAUGUCUUGGGUCAGAAUCGUGGACAAAGACCGUCACCUGAAGUUUCACUCAACAACACUCAAUAACAGCGCAUGAUUAUUACAUACUAAAAAUCAAGAGGCUCCCAAAGACACUUAGUGACUGACAGCUUCAUCUCCCAGGCUUUUUAAAGUUCAUCAUGCAAACACAGACAGUGUGAAACAGUUAGUCGAAUUAAGCAUUUUCCUUAUCCUCCCCCAGCAGAACUGCGUUUGAGAUAAAGGAUAAUGGCACUAAAUGAACAGGUUAAUUAGAGACAGCAUUUACCCCCGCAGGCCCUUCACUGGAAACACCAUUUCACACCAUUACAUCACACAGGAGAGCCAGGCUCCAGGGACCAGCUCCUGAGACAGCCAGUGACCGGCAGAGAACGUAGCAAGUAGUAGAAAGGGAAAUCAUGUUGGCAUACCCAGUGUGUGUGCUCAGCCAGGAUGGCCCCCCAUAUUUCUCUAGGGCGUGAGCCCGCCAACUACAGCUGCAGGCCAA